CUGAUGAAUGAUAAAUGAAUAUUAACUUUGUAUCAGCCUUUUAAUUACACUAAAUAAACAGUUAAAACGAGUCAGUUCACGAAAACGUACAUAUAUUUUUAAAACGACAACAAGUGAAAAUGAGAAGCUGUAAACUAUAUUUAUCGACCAUUCUUUUUACUUACUGUACAUUUUUUAAAUGUAGAGGAUUAGCCUUUAUUUUACAAAAUGUAAGAGAAUCCCAGAGUAUUUAUAUAACUGUUCAUCUAGCUAACAUCCUGUCUCGAGAUCAAAAGUUCUUUAACUCAAUAAUCAUGAAUAAUUUACCAAACAAACUACCGGAAGAAGGCAGCAGCUCGAAUACAUCACCAAACAAACUACCUGAUGAGGGCAACAUAACGAAUAAACCACCAAGCAAACUACCAGACGAAGGCAACGGCACAAAUAUAUCAUCAAACCAACUACCUGAUGAGGGUGACAACAUUUGCAGCAACAAAACAAAACGCAAGAAUAGACUAUCAAUCAAUGGUGCAAUAGACUCUUUAUCAGUAAUGUUGAAUUCGCAACAAAAUAAAAAUGAACAUGACAAAACAGAAAACGAUCAAAGGAAGAUGAAAGAGCUGGGAAAAUAAAGUACAGUAUCAAUCUACAUGUUGAAAGUCGUCUAUCGGUUUCAGAACCUGAACAUUAUUAAAAAUAAUGAUAUGA